UAAACUAGGAUUAGAUACCCUAUUAUUUUAAAUGUUAAUUUAAAAUGCUAAAUUAUUAAUAGUUAAGUUCUUUAAAAUUAAAAAAUUUGGCGGUAUUUUAGUCUUUUCAGAGGAACCUGUCCUGUAAUUGAUAAUCCACGAUUAUAUAUACUUAUAUUAUUAAUUUACAUAUCGUCGUAGUUAGAAUAUUUUAAUAGAAUUAUAAUGUUCAAGAAUUUUUAUUAAAAAGUAAAUCAGAUCAAGGUGUAGUUUAUAUAUAAGGAGAGAUGGGUUACAUUAAAUUUAUUUUUGGGAUAAUUUUUUUAAAAGAAUUUGAAUUUGGAUUUGAAAGUAAUUUUUUGAAUUUACUAAAAAUGAUUGUAGCUCUAAAAUAUGCACACAUCGCCCGUCGCUCUUAA
rnacentral:rRNA from 1 species